AGAGAUUUAGCUCAGUGGUAGAGUGCACAUUUUGCAUAAAUAAGGUUCUGUGUUCAAUUCCCAGUACGUCAA
rnacentral:tRNA from 1 species